AUUGAACGCUGGCGGCAGGCCUAACACAUGCAAGUCGAACGGUAACAGGAAGAAGCUUGCUUCUUUGCUGACGAGUGGCGGACGGGUGAGUAAUGUCUGGGAAACUGCCUGAUGGAGGGGGAUAACUACUGGAAACGGUAGCUAAUACCGCAUAACGUCGCAAGACCAAAGAGGGGGACCUUCGGGCCUCUUGCCAUCGGAUGUGCCCAGAUGGGAUUAGCUAGUAGGUGGGGUAACGGCUCAACUAGGCGACGAUCCCUAGCUGGUCUGAGAGGAUGACCAGCAACACUGGAACUGAGACAAGGUCCAGACUCCUACGGGAGGCAGCAGUGGGGAAUAUUGCACAAUGGGCGCAAGCCUGAUGCAGCCAUGCCGAGUGUAUGAAGAAGGCCUUCGGGUUGUAAAGUACUUUCAGCGGGGAGGAAGGGAGUAAAGUUAAUACCUUUGCUCAUUGACGUUACCCGCAGAAGAAGCACCGGCUAACUCCGUG
rnacentral:rRNA from 1 species